CAGUAGCCACGGGAAUACGAAGGGUGCAAGCGUUACUCGGAAUUACUGGGCGUAAAGCGUGCGUAGGUGGUUGUUUAAGUCUGCUGUGAAAGCCCUGGGCUCAACCUGGGAAUUGCAGUGGAUACUGGGCGACUAGAGUAAGGUAGAGGAUAGUGGAAUUUCCGGUGUAGCAGUGAAAUGCGUAGAGAUCGGAAGGAACAUCUGUGGCGAAGGCGACUAUCUGGGCCAUUACUGACACUGAGGCACGAAAGCGUGGGGAGCAAACAGGAUUAGAUACCCCCGUAGUCCCUGUCUCUUAUCC
rnacentral:rRNA from 1 species